rnacentral:misc_RNA from 1 species
GAAAUGCGAUAAGUAAUGUGAAUUGCAGAAUUCAGUGAAUCAUGGAAUCUUUGAACGCACCUUGCGCUCCUUGGUAUUCCGAGGAGCAUGACUGUUUGAGUGUCAUGGAAUUCUCAACUCUAUUUGCUUUUGUGAAUAGAGCUUGGAUUUGGAGGUUUAUUGCUGGUACUUGUGAUCGGCUCCUCUUGAAUGCAUUAGCUCGAACCUUUGCGGAUCAGUUAUCGGUGUGAUAAUUGUCUACGCCGUUGCAGUGAAGCAUAUCAAUGGGCUCGGCUUCCAAUCGUCCUUUACUGGACAAUGACUUUGACCUUUGACCUCAAAUCAGGUAGGAUUACCCGCUGAACUUAAGC